rnacentral:tRNA from 1 species
UGCGCCCGUAGCUCAGUGGAAGAGCAUUCGCCUCCGAAGCGGAAGGUCAGUGGUUCGAAACCACUCGGGCGUGU